rnacentral:miRNA from 1 species
CCGCAUGGUGAGGCGCGUGUGCCUCUGGGACCCCCUCCUCUGCAUUUGGCUGGGACGGCAUUUUUUCAUCCCUGGCCGUCCCGGGCAUUGUCGGGAUGGCAUUAGUGGGGCGGGAGGAAAUACGCUUUGUCGCGU